UUUUACUUGGAAAAAGUGUAUUUAAAAAAAUAAUCUCAUAACUCAAAAGUUACCAAAGGGAUUUUUCCCCUUAAACUUUCCAUUAAUAAAAAACAAAGCAAACUUAUACUGAAAACAAUUAUGAGAAAAUUCAGCCCAAAGUAGAAAUUUCCAGAAAGUUAUGGGCAAGUGAAACAAAAAAGGCAAAAACUAUCACUGAAAAUAAAAGCUUUUUACAGGAAUUUCAUUUUAAAUGCAUUGGCAAUGAAUGUCUAAUUUCAAAGGUGGAUAAACAGCGUUUGCCAAAAGUCCCACUCUGGUGUUGCUAAGAAGCUCUGUGUCGAGCAAUGGAAAUGCCCACGACAGAGUUAACUCAGUCUGACUCAAUGUGGGUUUUAAAAACAGAAAUUAACAAAUUUGAACAGUAAGAGCACAAGUGGGCGACAAAAUGACUAGCAACAAAAUGACUGGCUGAAAAGGAUUAUCUUGCCAGCCAGGACGGGUGGCUCAUUUUGCAAACACAACUUUUCUAAAUACUAUGUGAGCCUUAUUUUUUGGUGGCAAAUGAAAUGUGUGUCUCCAAUUAGCUAGAUAAUAAUACUACAUUCUGCAAGGCUCUAGGCUACUCUGCAAAGAGCAGAAAAAGUGGCAUGUAAUAUAUCAGUGAUUAACAUGGCACAACUGCACCAAGUAAUUGUUAACUCUUUGCAUUAUAUUAAUCUGGCACAAGACAUUGAGUUCACUGAUUUUUGUGACAGCAGCUUCCCAUUAGCUACAGGAUAAGUAGAAAUUCCUCAGGCUGAUGUUUAAGCCCUUCCAUGAUGAGGUCACACUGUGCCUUUCCAUCCCUGUACCCUAUGGUGCCUUUCUUUGGGCCAGUCUUCCUAAAAUCUUUCUAGUGAAGAGACACAACAACGAGAGUCUAAGAGAGUCUCCCAAGUCCUCUGUUUUCCCCUCUCUACCAUUACUGGGGCCAUCCCCUAGAUCAGACUCUCUGUUACACAUUUUACAAAUUGAUCUUCUUUGCAACUAACCAUAAACCUGAGAAGUGGGAAUUAUCAUUCCCUUCUUACUUAUGAUCCCAUGUCGCCGCUGAAGUCUCCUUCUUACUAUACCAGGGUUUGUCUUCAUAAUAAAGAGAGUACUUUUUCACUCUCAAAUCACCAAAGUUGAGGUGCAGGGAGAUGCUAACUCCUGGGUCAUGCUGAUCUCUUGGAUGCUUUUGAUGGCACACACAUGUUUGUAAGUGAAUUGGAGUGAAAUAACUCAGGAGUAGGCCAAGCUGGAAUUGCUCUGCAGGAAUGGAGGGGAUGGGCAUUCCUCAUUCAACAUUUCUGUUUUGUUGCUUAACUCAGUGUCAGUCAUGGCCAUGACAAUGGGGAUGACGGGAGUAGCUUAUGGAGCAGAAAGGAUGGGACAGGCAGAUACCAAAUCCCGUCCAGCCCUCCUCUGCUAUGGCUGCUGUCUUCUGUGGGUGAAGGGUGCUUUGCGUCUCUGGGCCUUCAUCCCUUUUGUCCCUCUACUGAAACGUCCUUUCCACUCUUCUCCAAAGGCCCAAUCCUGCCUCUCCCCACAAGGCCCAGCUUAGAAUGCCCCCUGCCCCUCACCCCCAAAUCCUCCCCUGUUUCUCUCAAUGAGGUUAAUUGCCUACAGUGGCUUGAACUAUGUCCCUCAGAAACAUAUGUCUAAGUCCUAACCUACAGUACCUGUGCAGGUGAUCUCGUCUGGAAAUAGAAUCUUUGCAGAAGUAAUUAAGGUAAGAAUUUUGAGGCGAGAUCAUCCCAGAUCAGGGCGGGCCCCAAAUCCAAUGACGGGUAUUUUUAAAAUAAAAAAAGGAGAAGACUCACAGAGGAGAGGCGGUGUGAGGAUGGAGGCAGAGACUGAAACGAUAUGUCUACAAACGAAGGAGCACGGGGAUGUCAGGAGCCACUGGAAGUCAGGAGAAGGCCCAGACACGUUCUGCCUCAGAGCCUCCCAGGGGAACUCACCCAGCGGAACCAUUGACUUUGGACUUCUAGCCUCAGAGCUGUUUGUGAUAAUAUAUUACUGUGCCCCCAGAGAUGAAUAUGCUGCCUUUUCCUGAACCCUAUUAUUCUAUCUGAUUUUCUCUUGAGACCCCUCAGUUCUGAUUCCAUGUUUUAUUUUUUCACACACGCAUUUGCCUUCUAUCAGAUCAUAACCCCCAGAGGGCAGGAUCCGGCUUGAAUGCCCUCAUGCCACUGCUCUCGAGGAUUCCUGAAGGGCUGGUACUCUGGCAACGUCUGCACGGUACUGCAUGACGAAGCUGGAGCCCAAAAGAGUUAAUGCCCCUGAAGGGACUUAAUAGACUCAGAGGGAGCAGGAGCACUUCCUUGGCCUCCGUGGUGGCCCCUCCCCUCCAUGGCUGGGUCAGCCGGAUUCUGGCUCAGCCCUGAGGCUUUUUUGUUUCUUCAAGUCUUAGGAUGUCCUCACCCAACCUCCCUGGUAGACUUCAGACAGCACUGGGCGAGGGGCUUAUUUUCUGUGCACCCCCGUUGUCCUCAUCAGCACUUAGAGCCCUUGAGGACUUGGUCUCCAGCCAGAUUUCAGGCUCAGUUUGUCUUAUCUAUUUGCUUGGCCAGUCCCCCAGCCCCCUGUCCCUGCAGCAAGCUCUCUGACUGCGGUGCAGUGACACCAGCCCCUUGGCAGUGGGUUGAUUAGAGUGCCCACCUGCCCUCAAUCUUAUUUAUGUGUUGGAGUCCCUAGUACCUCAGAUUGUGGCCUUACCUGGAGAUAGGAUCAUUUCAGAAGGAAUCAGGUUAAAUGAGGUCUUUAGGGUGGGCAAUCCAGGAUGACUGGUGUACUUACAAAAACUAGAAAUUUGAGCACAAAUAUGCAUAAAGGGAAGAGGAUGUGAAGACGCAGGGAGAAACCAGCCAUCUACCAGCCGAGGAGAGAGUCCUGGAACAGACUCUUCCCUCACAGUCUCAGAAGGAACCAACCCUGCUGACACCUUGAUCUUGGACUUCCAGCCUCCAGAACUGGGAGAUGUAUAUUUCUGCCAUUUAACCCACCCAGUCUGUGGUCCCUUGUUAUGGCAGCCCUCACAGGUGAGCACUCUAGUAGUUCUCAAACCAUCUAACCCCUUCCCCUGGGGCAGGCACCAUGCUCAGAGGUUUACAUGCAUUAUCUCAUUUAAUUAUCUUAAAAACACAGUAUCUGAAGUUCCUUUUUAUGAAAAGAAGUGUUGUCUAUGCUGGUUAGCCUGUGCUGACAUUGUAAACAGAACCCAUCUGAAUGAACCAAAAACAGCAGUCACAGGAUUGCAUGAUAUCCCAGAGACCACAACGGGAGGGACAGUUCAAAGGGUAUGGCGAUGCUCAGGCCAGUGUGAGUGGCGAUGCCAGGGGUUCUCGUGGUCAUCUGACAUUAGAGAGGGUGGAACUUCCCACAUAAGUAAGAGAAAGAAUUUUUUUCUAACUUGGAGGCAGCCAUUCUGCAAGGAGAAAAUCCAUUUGUGACGCCCAGUUUGAAAGACUGUUACCUCACAUGUGAUUAGGGUAUCUGUGUCAGAAAGGAAGUGAGUGACUUAUUGUAUGUCAAGUGCUCAGAACAGUGACAGGCACGUAGUGAGUUCUGGGUAACUGUAGACCAUUAUUAUUAGUAGUAUUCUAAAGUUUCUCUGCCAAGAAAGAGUGUCACAAACAUUAAUGAUGGCUCCUACCUUGUACCCUAUGAGCUGAUCCUGUGAAGUUUAUAGGACCACAGUUAUCUACUGCAAGAAUAAAAUAGAAGCCAUUUUUUUCUAGAAUAUUUCAGAAAGUAAAAGAAGGUGACACAACCCCAACCAUUUCCUGCCAAAGCCCUACAUCUGUGGCUAAAGCUUUGCGGAGCUGGUUUUCUAUUGUGAUGCUCAGUGAACCUCUCAGUUCUUAGGCGUGGCUGCAAGCUUCUCUGUUAUCAGUUGGGCCUCUUCAAGGCUGCAGAGUGAACCUUCUUCAUGGCACCUCCUUCUGCAGGUGUUUAUAUCUGCUUUCCAAUAGAAAACCCUUCUCCACACUUUGCCAUUGAGCAGUUUGCCAGAACAAUUUGAAGCAAAUAGGGAGGUUGUGGGAGAGUUCCCAAGUCACCCCUCGGAGAUGGACUGAGAUCAGAAACUUAGUAAUUCUAACCUUAUCAAUCAUCUUGGCUGUGAAGACCAUCUUUACUGGCCUGGAUCUUCCUUCCCCCAACCAAAACCAAAAACCAAUUAGCAGCCAGCACUUGCAUCACACACCUGCUAAGGGCGAGAAAUUCUGUGUUAGUUAUUUUUAUUUAAGUUGCCUCAUUCUUAGUUCUCUAAACUAUGUGUGACAGCAGCUCACUUACUCUUCCUCAAAAUUCUGUAGUGCAGAUAAAGCUACUUCCUUAAUGGACGAGGAAACUGAGUGAAAUUUGCCUGGGGAAAAUACUCAGGAAAAGACAGAUUUAGGAUUCCAAUGUUGGUCUUCUUGGCUUCAGGUUCUAGGCUAUUUCCAAAUCCCCUGAAGCUUCUCAGUUUGGGAGUGUCUGAGUCAGGGAGACCAUUUAGGCUGGAAAGGACAUGGCUGAUGAAAUACACUGAGAAGGUUCUGUAUAUGAGGUCUCUCCAGAGAUGUCUGGAAUUCCUCAGUCAGAAUCUCUGUUUUCGGGUAAGGUGUGUUUACAAAGGGGCAGCAGAGGCUCUCAGUACUGACCUGGGGGGCACACAGUCUCCCUGUUCCAGUGGGUCUCUAGAUCAGAUGACAACACCAGCCAAUGGAGGGCACAGGUGAGUAUGGAUGGCAGGAGGGGAUGAAGAGGCUCCAGGAAGAGACCGGAAGAGCAGGAAGAGUCGAUGCAACAGAUAUUGUGGGUGUUACUGAGAGCCAGGCUCUGGGCUGACAGUAGGCUGUGGGCUGGAGGGACCUGCUCUGCAAGGGAGGAAGGUGGAGUGCGUCUAUGACAGUGUGUCGGUCAUGAGCGUCAAUGGGAAAUAACAAUGAAGGCAAACUCAAGCUAUGUUUCUAUGACCUCCGUGUCCCAUACUGAAGGAACACAUGCUGAACUUUUGGAAGUUUUGUUCCAUUGACCCAGGUGACCCAGGCAACCCUUCCCAAAGCAAAGAAGAGGUCAUUCUCAUAAUGCUGUGUACAUCUCAUCAUCCUGGCAGCCCUCUGCCCACAGAAGAACCCUACGAUCUGUGAAGGGGAAGCAGGGUGUGUAAUAGAGAAAUAAACACUCCAUUUCUACUUUGUUCUUGGCGGGAGCCUAGAGUUGCUGUGAACCUUCUCAUGAAAGAUGGAGACAGAGCAGCCUUCUUUCCUGUGUCCAAUUUCCUACAUGAUAAACUGACUCAUUGGGUUACAUGGUCACAAAUGUGCUUUAAGGAAAAGAAAUGCCAUUGUUUGUGUAAUACAAUCUUUAGAGGGAAUCAAAACUAAUAGUUAGCUCGAGUCUGGGAAUUGGUAGUGAAUUACUAAAAUUCAACUGUUUCUCUUCCCUUCUUAUCUCUGCACACAACACAAUUCUUUCUUUAAAAACUAAUCUGUAUGAAAUAUGGGAAAAAGCAAAAAUAGGCUAUGAGGCCGUCUGGUAACAAUAAUGGAAGUAAAUGGAAAUCUAAAUCCUCCCUCCAAAAUUUUUUUUGUGAGAGCUGGAAUCUGUCAAGGACCCAGACUUUGCUAGGAUGACUGUCUUCAGAGCCUUGUCCCUGGCACAUUCCUAUUUUCAAGGGUGCUGUGCUUUGGCAUAAUGUAUUCUUUGCAAGUGACAUGUCUUGGUCGAGUGUCUAGAAGACACUGUCAUGUUCUGUUUUAACAGUCAUGAGUUAGUGAAGGGACCAGGGGCUUCCUGAAGAUCUUAGCUUUGUAAACCUGUAAUCGAAACUGCUGGCACUCACGGAAACUUGGAAACACAAGGGUCAGAGGCCGCUGUGAAGACCAGAGAAUUUCCUCAACUGAUCAUGAGGUCCUGGUCUUUGUCCCCAUCCUGCCUUUCCUCUCUGUCUCAGGUGACAACCUGUACGCCGGACAGAUGCAGCUUCUGUUCGAACCUGUAGCUCUUGGAAGACCUGGAAAAAAGAAAAGGAGAAUUUCGCUGAUUCUUGGAUUGACCGUGAAGUGCAGUGGAAAUGCUCCAAGGGAAGCAGGCACCGGAAAUAGGAUGGAGUGUCAGUCACCAAGACAGAAGACAAAAACAUAAGCUGUGAAAUAUGAUUAUAAAAUAGUGACACGAGUACCAGAAACCAUGGAGGAAACGUCUCCUUGUUCUGGAUCCACACUUCAUACGUGGUCAUUGAAAUGUGGCAUCAAAUGGGAGGAACGUGAUGGGCCAGGUCAGGGGAAGAGCACGAAGCAGGGCCUUUCCCUGGGAGAUGGCUCCAUGUGACAUGCUUCAUACUGAAGCACAUUGGCCCUCAGCACUGGUAUCUUGCUUCACCUGGGGAUGGUGAUGAAAUGAUGCAGAGCUGCCUCAAUACGAUGCGGAGCUGACUCAAUACAAUGUGUUUUUAUCCUCCAUCGUGAAGCAGCUGGGAGCACCAGGAGGCAGGUUUUCCCGUCCUUAUGGAAAGCACCAUAUUGGUCUGCUGGGGACAUGUUCUUUUACUCCAAGGAGUAGUGGAUGUGCAACUGGGCUGUCCUACCUGCAGAGAUGUGUGGGGCUGGCUGCUGAGAACAGAUGGCAACUGGUUGGCUCUGAUGCUUCAGAAGAGGUGAAUACAUUUGGAGAGGCCACAGCUGAGAGUCUCUCAAACCGGGAGUUAUUAUUUUAAAAGUUGGAUUUUUAGUAAGAUUUUACCAGGUGAGGCUGAUUAAAUGAUGGUGGCGGGGGCGGGAAGAACACCUCUGUAGUUGGGGAGAGAAACAAAUAAAAGUGAGUUGAAGUCAACUUCUCCAGUUAA